UUGAGCCCUAUGAGGCGAAAGUCUCACGUACGGUUCCUUAGGGGGCGAUGUGCCGUAAUGUGCUGUUGCUACCCGGC
rfam:Candidatus Burkholderia brachyanthoides strain TZHbot7 BRCHctg440, whole genome shotgun sequence.